UGUCUCAUACUGUCCAUGGCUAGGUUACUGUCUCAUACUGUCCAUGGCUAGGUUACUGUCUCAUACUGUCCAUGGCUAGGUUACUGUCUCAUACCAUCACACUGUCCAUGGCUAGGUUACUGUCUCAUACCAUCACAUUGUCCAUGGCUAGGUUACUGUCUCAUACCAUCACAUUGUCCAUGGCUAGGUUACUGUCUCAUACUGUCCAUGGCUAGGUUACUGUCUCAUACCAUCACACUGUCCAUGGCUAGGUUACUGUCUCAUACCAUCACAUUGUCCAUGGCUAGGUUACUGUCUCAUACUGUCCAUGGAUAGGUUACUGUCUCAUACUGUCCAUGGAUAGGUUACUGUCUAAUAUUGUCCAUGGAUAGGUUACUGUCUCAUACUGUCCAUGGAUAGGUUACUGUCUCAUACUGUCCAUGGCUAGGUUACUGUCUCAUACUGUCCAUGGAUAGGUUACUGUCUCAUACUGUCCAUGGCUAGGUUACUGUCUCAUACUGUCCAUGGCUAGGUUACUGUCUCAUACUGUCCAUGGCUAGGUUACUGUCUCAUACUGUCCAUGGAUAGGUUACUGUCUAAUAUUGUCCAUGGCUAGGUUACUGUCUCAUACUGUCCAUGGAUAGGUUACUGUCUAAUAUUGUCCAUGUCUAGCAAAAUAUAGUCAUUACUACAUCCCUUAAUAAUGGCAGCCACACAUCCAUGGUUGAUUACCACUGUUGUUGCUUUGUAGAGCAGCUCAUUGAGUUUUGUCCUGAUGAGUUCUUUAUUAUCAUCCUCCAGUGUUUUUCCAGUCUCACUGAUAACAGUCGACUCAGGUAACUCACCUUUCAAGUUUACAUGUGUGUACUGUUUUGGCUCAGAGUAUGCCACACCUCCCUCCCUGACCACCUUACCCUUCAGCACC
rnacentral:lncRNA from 1 species